UGAACACACAGUCCAUUACCUCAUAGCCUUAAAAAUACUUAAUGGCUUCCUGGCACAGUGUGAAGAUACCUCCUAUUAAGAAAAAAUAAAAGUUGCUAUUCCAGUACUGCUAUUUUGUGUAAAAAUAAAACCAAAAAAAUAGAAGCAAGCAUAUAUCUAUAUAUUCUUUCAGUAAUAUGAAACAUAUUGUUUCAAUAUCAUAUUACAAUGUUUUCUCUUUUGAAUAUUAUAAUGUUCACUUUUUAACACUGUCUUUUCAUAAUCUGCCUUUUUGCUAGGGGCUGCCAUAACAAAAUACCACAGAAUUGACUUAAAGAAGAAAAAGUUAUUUUGUCAUGGUUCUGGAAGUGGGAAAUCCAAGAUCAAAGUUUGACAGAACUCAUCGCUUUUGCAAAGUAUAACAGAGUUUCUGUUCCACACCCAGUCCAUCAUGUUCUUGCAACUUCUACCACCGUGGAUGUCAGUUGAUAUUAAUGCAGUCUUACUCUGUUGCUUAGUCUUCUUUGGACACUAAUACAGUGUGUAGGCUGAGGAGGAGUAAGAAGAGAAGAAAUUGGUGUUGCUGUCUCAGAUGUGGCAGACGCAGAAGAAAACUCAUGUAUAAGUGGACUCGUGCAAUUCAGAUGCAUGUUGUUCAAAGGUCAACUGUAUUUGCAAUUGUGAGAAAAGCAUAAACUCUGCUGUCAAUUCUUGUAUUUUGGAGGAAAACAUGGUUUUGUUUUGCAAAAAAGUUAUGAGUUUUAUAAUUUUCUUCCUUCCUCCCUCCCUCCCUUCCUUUCUUUCCUUUUUUUAAAAUAAUGAUGCAAUGAUUACUCAGCUGGAAUGCUGUGACUCAGAAGUGAAAAAUUAGCAGAUCCAAUAAAUAAAGGCAAAAAUGGUACUUGAAAUUCACAACACAUAGUAAUUCGCAUGGGUGGUUAAAUCUUAGAAAACCUAGUUAGGAUAAAGUGUCUAAGAUGCAGCUUUGAAAGUUUAGCUUACUGUCUUUAUCACAUUUGUGAAUGGAAUCAUAAUGCUUUAUUUGCCAAGAUUUUAUUAGUUCUAUAAAUCUUUUUUUCAAGAUGUAUUGUGCCUUGUUCUUAAAUAUCUAGCUUAAGAAAAAAAAAGACAUACAUUUUUCUGUGCUUCUCAGGAUUUCAUACAAUUUCUUUGUUAAUUCAUAUAUUUGAGAAUGUUAGAGGCACAGUGUGAAAUUGUUGUCUGUAAUGAUAAUGGGUAACCACCAAAGAUCCAACCAUAAAAACAUAAUAGUGAUGACGUUUCUCAACAUUAAUAGAAACAAAAUUUCUUUAUCUUAGAGAUUUCAAGGUCUUAUAAACCAAGGAAUGCAUUUCUCAGAGGAAAAGCAAUAAAGUACAAAUUCACCAAGUGACCAAUUACGAAUUUCUCACAGGGCAAUAAACUUUCUUCAUAUUUCCUAAUACUCAAGCAAGAGUCUGUUCUAUGUAUCAAAAGAUACUAAGAAAUGUUUAUUAAUGUGACUAGUUAUUACAAAGAAAAAUUCUUAUUCCUGACAUAUUACAUAUGGAGAACUAAG
rnacentral:lncRNA from 10 species